GCAGGGAUGACAGUUGUGUGUCACUGCCUUCAGCUUCUUCCAUUGAAAUGGACUUUCAUGGACUUUGUCCAGAUUGGACUGGAAUGGCAAUUCUCGCUGCCUCAGCCUCUCCAAGUAGCUUGGAUAGCAGCCCCGAGGGCAGCGCGGCUGCUGGUGAGCAAGGACAAGCUGAGUCCGCUGCAACCAUGUUUCCACUUUGGAGGAAAUGGGAGAAAUGAGGCCAGUGGCUUGAUAAAUUAUAUCAAAAAUAGUCCCUUCAUGCUAAUGGAGUGUGAAGAAGCUGAUGUACUGGAGAGAAUCUGUAAUAUUUCAUAUUUCUCUGAGGAGAAAAAUGAUAAACUUGAUGAUGUGUGA